rnacentral:rRNA from 1 species
CCCUUAGAUGUUCUGGGCCGCACGCGCGCUACACUGAUCGGUGCAACGAGCAUCCGUCCUUGGCCGACAGGCCCGGGCAAUCUUUGAACGCCGGUCGUGAUGGGGAUAGACCUUUGCAAUUUUUGGUCUUCAACGAGGAAUUCCUAGUAAACGCAAGUCAUCAACUUGCAUUGAUUACGUCCCUGCCCUUUGUACACACCGCCCGUCGCACCUACCGAUUGAAUGGUCCGGUGAAACCUCCGGAUUGGCGCGUGCCCUCGGGCGCCGCCGAGAAGUUGGUUAAACCUUACCAUUUAGAGGAAGGUGAAGUCGUAACA